rnacentral:lncRNA from 1 species
CUUACCGUGUUUGUGGUGUGUUGGAUGUGUAAGUUACCAAAUUAAUAGAACGUAUUUCGUGGUUUGAGAUAAGACUCAGGUAAAUAAGAUGAAGUAGACGAGAACUACAAUUAUUCAAUGUUUUCUGAGUCCAUGAAGACCAAGCAUAUGUAUGGUGUUGUAUAAGAAUAUUGCUGUGCCCAAAGACAAACUCACUCACUUGAAGAAUUUGCUAUAUAUUUCUGGUGUUCCAGGCGGUCUGAUGCCCUCCACCAGGGUAGCCGAGGUUUUCUGCCUCUUCCUGGUGUUAAUGAUUGUCAUUAUUCCUUCUACUGC